GAUAACCAAAGAUAACAGCAGGGUUUAAAGUGGGGUUAGUGAUGAGACGAACAUCUCCACCACCAGGAGCCCAGGUAUCGUAAACACCACCAAAGAACAUCGCUUUGAAGACAAGAAGGAAUGCACCUAAUCCAAGAAGAAUGAGGUGAUAACCAAUGAUGUUGGUCAUUUGGUUUUUGUCUUUCCA
rnacentral:antisense_RNA from 1 species